rnacentral:rRNA from 1 species
GACGUAGGGUGCGAGCGUUGUCCGGAUUUAUUGGGCGUAAAGAGCUCGUAGGCGGCUCGUCGCGUCGACCGUGAAAACCCGCGGCUUAACUGCGGGCUUGCGGUUGAUACGGGCGGGCUAGAGUUCGGUAGGGGAGACUGGAAUUCCUGGUGUAGCGGUGAAAUGCGCAGAUAUCAGGAGGAACACCGGUGGCGAAGGCGGGUCUCUGGGCCGAUAUAGACGCUGAGGAGCGAAAGCGUGGGGAGCGAACAGG